GCCACCCGCGGCUCGCCUCUCAACAAAGUGGAGUAUUCCGCGAGUCACUAGCUCACUGCUGCACUCUCAGAUCGACGGUCGGUAACGAGGAUACAUACCUGCUGGUGGUGCUGGUGCUGGCGUGCGGGAGUGAAAACGGAUCUAGCGGAAGGUGUGGGCCCAGUGAGGUGAGAAUCCGCACCCACACACAGUAUGUCCGGCUGCUGUAUGACGUGGACGUCGCAGCCCUGCCGCCGGUCACUGUGGUGCAAGGAUACGAGUGAAUUUCUGGGUAAAGACUUGUGUUUUUUUGUAUUUGUUUUCAGAGAAGAAAUAAAGCUUUAUUUUAAUUAAUACUGAGUUUAUUUUCCCAAAUUUUCAUCCUCCAACAACAAACCUUCCUAAUCCCAGCCUGUUUGUGGUCACUGCUCGAGAGCCGCGGGACACUGCCAAACACACGACUACUGUUGUUUUCCAGACAGCACUUCUCUGCUGCCCUGUCUGCUAUGUGGCUGCUUUUGAUCACUGCAAGAUCAUAGGUAGUAAAUGGCUCAAAAAAAAAAAAAAAAAAAAAAA